GCCGAGCUUCUACUCCUUUAUGGCAAUUUUCUACCAGGAAGAUUGAUCACGAUGAAGGAUAUCUUCUUAGUCUAAUGAGGGAAAAAGGAACUUCAUACAGCUCAGCCCCUCAAUCACUACUUGCGUCAAUCAGGAAUUCAUUGAUAACAAUGCUGUCAUUAUGGAUCCCAUUAACUCCUAUCAUGUGGCUUCUUUAUCGUCAACUUUCUGCGGCCAAUAGUCCAGCUAGAAGACGAAGGCCAAGUAAUCAGUUGGUUACUUUUGAUGAUGUGGAUGGUGUGGAUACUGCAAAAGUAGAGCUUAUGGAGGUAUCCUCAAAAUUUUGCUCAUUAAAUUUCAUUUGCAGACACGCUUCUCAUUGUUGAUUUUUCCGAGAAUGCAUAUUAGAACUAGAGAUUGUAACUAAGAGGAAGUUUAAAUGGCCAUGAAAUUCUCUUUGAGGACAUGAUUCAUGUGGGCCCGCCUGUGUAAAUGCAGCUAAAUAUAGAGCAGAGAUUGUUAGUUCAACCUUUUGACUGCUCUGUGGUACCAUUUGCGCUUGAUGUGUGCAAUGCUAUUUGUCCCUUUCUUAAGCUGAACAAUUGUUUGGUUCAAAACUUGGAUAUAGAAAAAGGAAUAUCAUUCAUAAGGAAAGUUCUGCAAUCUUUAAGUUUUGGCAAUAAUCUUAUCCCCAAAGAAAAAAAGUUUCAGCAAAAUAACUGUUAUGAGAAAAUAUAUUACAUGCUGUUCUAAGCAGUAUUAUGGUUUUUUUUCCCUUUUAUUUUCCUAAAUAUCUUUCUCUUUUUCUGGUUUUACUAAGGAUGAGUACAAGGAACCAGGUAACCCAUUUACUGGACCUCUUGACCCUUAACAUUUUUUGAAACUUAGUGUCACUCCUCAUUAAAUCAAGUAUUGAUCUACAACAUUAGUUGUCCAACUGCAGUUUAAAACUGUCUUGGUAAACUUGAAUAGUUUAUAGUUCAAUAUAUGGAAUUGGUUUCAUACUCCAUCAUAGAUGUAGAUCACUAAACAUGGUUUGCUUCUUAGAUGAACAUUGGUAUGCCAACCACUUGGUGUACUUGCUUUAGUUACCAAAUCUUAUACUCAGGAUGAUUAUAGACACUAAUAGUUCUCACCUAUUUUUGGUCUGGAAAUGAGAAAGUCAAAUUUCUCAGCAUCAUUAUAUGAACAAUAGUUGUGAUUGAAUUUCUGCUUUGAUUUUCACUUUCAAUACUGCUUGCUAAUAGUAAGAGACAUACCUUUGUUACUAUGAAGCAAGAAUCCUGGAGAUACACUUACCAUGAUUGGGCUAGGUUAAUGAUCAUAUAUGUGUGAUGAUCUACUUGCAUAUUCCGGCGUCCAAAAGUAUAAUGCAUACUUUUCUUAAAAUGAACACAAUUCGGUCAUAGAAGGUAGCUAGACUCACUUCUUUCUUCUUUUUCCUCUCUCUCUCUCUCUCUCUCUCUUCGUUUGGCAUUGACUGUCUGUCUAACCUAGAUUGCUAUAUUUUCCUAUAUUUUGUUAAGCCUAUGCAUAGUUAUCAAAACUGAAUAGAAGAGGGAGGUAGUACAAAUUCCAAACUUGAGUCACUUGAAUAUUUUUCAAGGGCUACACAAUGAUAAACUUCCUUUGAGUUAGCAUACAGUGCAUAAAAGUAGAAAUCUGAAAACAAUUGGAAUGAGAAUGUACAGUUGUGUUAUUGUUUGAACAUUAUUAACCAUAUUUAUCUUGUUUCUGAAGAGCACAUUGGAAAGUUAAAGUAGCAAAUGUUAACUGAAUAUAUCACCAAAUCAAUAAGGACAAUGUGUCUUUCGGCCUUUUGAGAUUCUGUUUUAUAUUCUGAGCUCUGUGGUGUGCUAUCAAGUAAGUCUUUCAUGCUAGACUGAUUUACUGUGUUUUGGAUUAAAGAUUCAACAAUACAGCAUGAGAUGCUACCGGAGUUAGUUUCUUUUAUUGCUGUGUGGUUUUGCAUACCCCUGGUCACUAAGUAUACUUUUGUGUCUGUCUGUGUGAGAGAGCGCUUGCAUGAGCCUACAUACACAUAAUUGUACACAAAAUUACAACUGUUUGUUGCCAUUGGGAUUGGUUUUGAUGCACGCACUUCAUCUACAGAUAGUAUCGUGCCUACAAGGAGCAAUAAACUACAGUAAGCUAGGAGCAAAGUUACCCAAAGGAGUGCUACUUGUGGGACCUCCAGGAACCGGGAAAACAUUACUAGCCCGUGCAGUGGCUGGAGAAGCAGGAGUACCAUUUUUUUCAGUUUCUGCCAGUGAAUUUGUUGAGUUAUUCGUUGGAAGAGGAGCAGCACGUAUUAGAGAUCUAUUCAGUGUUGCAAGGAAAAAUGCACCUUCAAUAGUUUUCAUUGAUGAACUUGAUGCUGUUGGAGGAAAACGUGGGAGAAGUUUCAAUGAUGAAAGGGAUCAAACACUUAAUCAGGUAUUCUUUCACCCUGACUCAGGUAUUUCUGCCUUUGUAUAUUUGAAAGUGUUUAGCUCUUAAACAAUCCAAUAAUAAUAUGAAAAAUUUAAGGGACAUUAGGUGUGCCUUCUUGGAAGCUACGGACCAGGACAUAAAUAUUUUAGAAAGAUGAACACGCAAUAUAUAAAGAGUUGAAUUGUGUUGCAUUAGUAGCAUGAGCAAAUUAAUGAGAACUUCUUUGAUGUGUUGCGCUAGAAACAGAUUUAUGUUUCUAAGGACCUGAAGAUGGUAAUGCAUAUGAACUGUUAAUUGAACAAUCAUAAAUGAAUAACAAAAACUAGUUGCUAGAAUCACCUAGAAAUAUUUGCAAGAAAAGCUCAUAACUUCAAAUUCUCGAUCCAGAACAAUGAUAGUAAUCAAUGGUACAUGGCUAUUAUAAACCUGAUAAAAUUAAAACAAAAAAAAGUGCAAAAGACAAUUCACAAUUAUAUUGGAAGCACAAACCAAUGACCUUAUCCUGAAGCUAACAAUUGUUCAGUCUCUCAGGAGUUUGAAAGAUGGUUCAAAAUUUUUGUAUUUAGGUCUUCUCCACUUGAUGUGUCUAAAGUGGUCCCAGUAAUGAGGAUACUGGUUCUGAAAGCAAGACUACUAGGUUUAUUUCCAUUUGAGAUUUUGUUUUCACCAGCUUUUUUUGUGGUUGUACUUGCCAUAUUCAUUAUGAUCUUCAGUAACUCUUAAUUUUGAGUAUCUUAAAAGAUUGAAGAGCUUUUAUUUUGUAUAAUUUCAAUUUUCAUUGACAAUUCCUUGGCCUUUGCAGUUGCUGACUGAAAUGGAUGGCUUUGAGUCUGGAACAAAUGUUGUUGUUAUUGCUGCGACUAAUAGACCUGAAGCUUUGGAUCAAGCUCUUUGUCGACCUGGCCGCUUCUCCAGGAAAGUUUAUGUGGGAGAACCAGAUGAAGCUGGGAGGAGAAAGAUUUUGGCCAUACAUUUUAGAGGGGUGCCUUUAGAGGAAGAUAUGGACCUUAUCUGCAAUCUAGUUGCAUCUCUCACUCAAGGCUUUGUUGGUGCUGAUCUUGCAAACAUAGUCAAUGAAGCUGCACUGCUUGCUGCACGCAGAGGUUAGUUUAAGAUGUGCUGCAUUAACAAACUAAAUUUCAGUUCUCUAUCGGUGCAAUCUUCUCCGCUGGUUAAUUAAAAGAAUGGUACUUUUUUUUUUUAAAUUGAGAGCAUCCUAGAACAAUUAUUUUCACCUCCCUAGACUCUUUGUAGGUCUGGUUUAGUCUAUGGCUCGGCUCUUCUUGGGCGAGUACUUUCAACUCUAGCGGCAUAAGCUCUUUGAGUCUCACCUCCCUAGAAGUCAGGUGCUAUUACGGCUACCAAGAAACUCUACCUUAUCACUGGUUGAGAGAGUUUGGAGGAUAGCUUAAUGUGCGUAGAAAAUGUCUCCUGAGCUAGCUAGGAACAUAAAUGGCAUAGCAUCCUUUUUUAAGCUGGAGAACUGUUGCUUUAUGCAUGAUUGUUUCUUGGACAUUUUAGAGGUGGUUAUGGGUAUUAUUGCAGGAGCUGAUUAGUAAACUGAAAGCAUGGUGUGGGAAGUUUUGAUCGGCCAAAGGAUGUUUUCAAAGCAUCUUAAGAGCUGCUUCUGAGAAUCAGCUUUGUAUACCUUAAAAGCAGUUAAAGCAGGGUCUACCGCAAAAAUAAAAAUAGCUCAAAAGCUUUUAGAUUCAAAAGUGGUAUAAUCAGCUGAUUUGAAGCAACUGAUAAACUUUGCUGCUAAAUCUCUUGCUACUGGUUUCCAUUUCUUGAAUAUCUGAAAUUGCUUAAAGGAUUUUCCAGUAGCCUUUUGUGAGAUGUCGAGAAUGGUGUUGGUCAUUUAAUGCCUUCUGAUUUGACCUUGCAAAAUCUAUAGCUGAAUUUUCAAUUCUGCUUGUCAUAUGCUUUCCUGAUCCACAGGGGCAGAACGUGUCUCCAGGGAGGAUAUAAUGGAAGCGAUAGAAAGAGCCAAGUUCGGGAUAAGUGAUAGGGAUUCGAGUUCUAGUACCAUAGGUAGGGAGCUAGGAAAACUGUUCCCUUGGAUGCCUUCCCUAAUGGGGAGGAAUGAUACGAGACAGGAAGGAACGGGUGGGCCUCUGGGCUAUCAAACUCUAAGUUGAUGAGCGCGUUCCCGUUUGUUGUAUCCGGUCAUUUGACCUUCACAAGUAUAAUUUUGAUAUCUGUAGAUGUAGCUGCAAUAAUCUUUGCUUCCAUCGAGAUGGGGUUCUUCUUGUUUAUAAUUUUUGUGCCGAUCUGUAAACCAGAAACGUGAUAUUACUCCC
rnacentral:lncRNA from 1 species